AUGAUGGAUGUCCGGUGCACGAACCUUUUCAACCCUGUAUGCGACUGGCUUGGUGAGAUCUAUGACCCAGCCUCCAGGGAAUUCGUGAUUUCGGGACGUGGAAGACUACCGUUGAACGAGGAAUCCGUGUUCUGCACUUUGGGUGUGCCUCGUGGACAUAUGAAAGUCCCGUACGAGGUCAACAAUGAGAUCGAGGAAGCGUUGUUCCCCCGUUUGUUUCCUGGGUCUCAAUCCAUGCCGAACACGUCUGCAGUGGCAGAUUCGCUGCAGGCCAUAACGACGCAUGGAGAUGUUUUCAAGAUGAAGCUACUCAUGUACCUCAUCUCAGCUAUUUUCGCGCCGACCACCUCUCUUCGCCCAAGCAACAAAUACUUCCCCAUCCUGGCGGAUCUGGGAAAUGUGAAGAACAUGAAUUGGUGUAAGUUUAUUGCCGACUUCCUGCACGAUGCAUUCUCAAGCAAGAUGUACCAAAAGGGUUGUCGACUGCAUUUAAUCCUCAUGUACGUCGACUGUCUUGACCUGUCCACCGUGGAUUUCACUGGGACAGGAGGCCCGCCGCCUGCGCACAAAUUUGCUGUUUCUGCAUGGACUAUCAACGCUGUCAAGGCUGUGCUUGCCGCAGACAAGGCUACUGACACCACAUAUGGAAAAUUGCAGCUAAUGGCCAAUCAUGCUAUAGACUACAGCGUGUUUGGGGGGCCUCAAAACUUUGGAAAGUGA
rnacentral:rRNA from 1 species